AUGCAGCUGACCGGUCCCGAAUAAGACGAAACGCGCGUCCUGUAU
rfam:Schistosoma margrebowiei strain Zambia genome assembly, scaffold: SMRZ_scaffold0000051